rnacentral:rRNA from 1 species
AUUGAACGCUGGCGGCACGCCUUACACAUGCAAGUCGAACGGCAGCACGGGAGCAAUCCUGGUGGCGAGUGGCGAACGGGUGAGUAAAGUAUCGGAACGUGCCCAGUCGUGGGGGAUAACGUAGCGAAAGUUACGCUAAUACCGCAUAUGAUCUAUGGAUGAAAGCGGGGGAUCGCAAGACCUCGCGCGAUUGGAGCGGCCGAUAUCAGAUUAGGUAGUUGGUGGGGUAAAGGCUCACCAAGCCGACGAUCUGUAGCUGGUCUGAGAGGACGACCAGCCACACUGGGACUGAGACACGGCCCAGAUUCCUCCGGGAGGCAGCAGUGGGGAAUUUUGGACAAUGGGCGAAAGCCUGAUCCAGCCAUGCCGCGUGCAGGAUGAAGGCCUUCGGGUUGUAAACUGCUUUUGUACGGAACGAAAAGGUUUGGCCUAAUAAGCUGAGCUCAUGACGGUACCGUAAGAAUAAGCACCGGCUAACUACGUGCCAGCCGCCGCCGUAA